GUACUUACCUGGUGGGAAAGCUGGCGUGAUCAAGAAGGCGCCGCUUUCAUCUGUCAUUAUGUCCAUUGCACAAUCGGAUUCAUAUGGCGGGUGUGAACGUCUUAUGGCGUCUCAACCAUACAAUUUUUGAUUGCUGGCUGCGUUUGCAGUCUUCAU
rnacentral:snRNA from 1 species